CGGGGAAACAGGAAGUGGAGAAAAAAUAAAAGCAUGUGGGAGGAAGGUUAUAAACUGUUGAGAGGGAUACAACUUAUUAUUUUAUCUUUUUGGAUGUUUAAUUUAUAAGUACAGACAAAAAAACAUCCUUCCGUUUUGGAGUGGUUUGCAAACACACUGAGAUUUAAAGAAGUAGAGGAAAUAAUCUGACUUGUUCAGUGUCAGGAAGUCGUAUUGACAGCACGCUGUCAGAUCAAGCUUUGAUUUCUUUCCUGCAGAUGUGUGCCAUGAUGCCUGUAGCCAAAGCAUCCCCCAUCACGUUCACCAUGGUGCGGAAUCUGUCUCUGCCGGGAGAAGAGGACAGUUCACAGAAGAGGCUCAGCGUGGAUGGAAACACAUGUCAGCUGUCGUUUUAUGAAGCCAGUUACGUUAAAACCUUGUGACAGUGGCAAUUUGUGAAAGGUGCACAAUCCUCCUGCACUUUCUUCUGAUCUAUUACUAUUACCAUUUUUUUUUUUUUUUAGUUUAUCACAGCCUGUUCUCUGCUCAACUGUUGCACUUUGCCCUCUUCAGUGAGUGAAAGACUGACAGAGAAACGGAGAAGAGAGUGAAAUACUGAAAAUAUCAGACAUCCAAGAGAGAAGAUAUCAUGUUUCCUACGGUUUUAAAGGACAGGGACAUGCAAGAAGUUAAAUCUGCUUCACCUGUUGUUAUCCAGAUGCUGGUAAAUAUCAGUUUAUUGCAAAUAUUCAUGCAAGUUCAUGACAGAAAGGAAUUAUUCUGCAUUGCCUUGUACUGUAAAGUACAAUUAAAAGUAUUUAACAUAAAGAGACCAUCAGAUCCAUCUUUGUGUCCUCACUGUGCGUCUGUUUCAAGU